AUUCAUGCUUCAGGGACCCCACUACCGGUGUCACAGAUGUCCCCAAAACUCCUAAAGAUCUUGGAGGGAUGAAAGUUCUGGAGGCAUUUCAUCUGGUUUCUGCCGCCAUGGGGAGAGCGGAGGCAGAGGGAGUGACAGCUGUCUCCUGCUUUAUGACACGGCUUAGCAUUUGAAAAUGUCUGCUGUAAUCCUCAUCGCUCAAAGGCGCCGGUGUGGAGCUGGCCUCCGAAGCUCGGGGGGUCAGAGUGGGCGCUUUCCACCACCUCGCCAUCUGAGCCCGGGGGGAAAUGUCACACACCCGGCCCUGCCUCUGAAACCUCUGAGGCUGAGCAGAUGAGCCACGUCAGCCGAGAUUGCGAUCGUAGAGAUAAAGAAAAAAUUGGCCUUUGCAGAUUUUUUCUCCCUUUCAUCAGUUCUGGAUUUCAGGGAAAUUCACUUCAGAAACUUUCAUUUUGGACAGAAGAACUGCAGACACAUCCCAUAGUGAGUAGCCAUUUCCAAAUGCAGAGUAACUGUACUCAAGACAACAUUGGCCAUUUUUGUGAGUGGCACAUAAACAAGCCUUUUGCAUGAAGUACAUUAUCUUUUCAUAAGCACGUUGGACCCUUAGACCACUCUCAAUACAGACAACUCAAAAGUCUCCACCCGGCAGCCCCAUGUCCCACCAUUAAAAAAACAAUCUCCCCAACAAUCAGAGAGAGCGAAUGAGGCACCCGUAAUUUUCCCAAGUCCUGUUGACAUUGCUGAAUGGCACUCGAACACCAGAGGCCCGUGCGGAUUGGUGGGAUGGUCUCUAUUGAUCUGGAAAUCAGUUUUAAGAGUAAUUUCUACUUUGCCGUGAGGAAGGCGGGAGGUAUCCGUCAUGUGUCCCUGCUGUUGUAAGCACCAUAAAAAUGUCUGCUUUGAUUCAGUGUGGAGCACGUUGGCAGAAAAGGCUCAAAAACAAACUGUCCCUGCGAAGGUCGACAGACACAAUGGACCUUCGGUGAGGCGACCUUUACAUGGGAUGUGUGUGUGAGUGUCUGUGACAGUGGGCUGUUCUGGGCUAAUCAAUGCAUUAUGAAUAAAGCUUGUAUUUUUAGCA
rnacentral:lncRNA from 1 species